rnacentral:rRNA from 1 species
UACGUAGGGGGCAAGCGUUGUCCGGAAUCAUUGGGCGUAAAGAGCGCGUAGGCGGUCCGGUAAGUCCGCUCUGAAAGUCCGGGGCUCAACCCCGGGAGGCGGGCGGAUACUGUCGGGCUAGAGUCCGGAAGAGGCGAGUGGAAUUCCUGGUGUAGCGGUGAAAUGCGCAGAUAUCAGGAGGAACACCGAUGGCGAAAGCGACUCUCUGGACGGCAACUGACGCUGAGGCGCGAAAGCGUGGGGAGCAAACAGG